UAAGGAAUAUUGGUCAAUGGACGGAAGUCUGAACCAGCCAUGCCGCGUGAAGGAUGAAGGCCCUCUGGGUUGUAAACUUCUUUUACGGGGGACGAAAAAAGGGAAUUCAUUCUCACUUGACGGUACCCUGGGAAUAAGCACCGGCUAACUCCGUGCCAGCAGCCGCGGUAAUACGGAGGGUGCAAGCGUUAUCCGGAUUUACUGGGUUUAAAGGGUGCGUAGGUGGGCGAGUAAGUCAGUGGUGAAAUCUCCGGGCUUAACCCGGAAACUGCCAUUGAUACUAUUUGUCUUGAAUACUUUGGAGGUAAGCGGAAUAUGUCAUGUAGCGGUGAAAUGCUUAGAUAUGACAUAGAACACCAAUUGCGAAGGCAGCUUACUACACAGUAAUUGACACUGAGGCACGAAAGCGUGGGGAUCAAACAG
rnacentral:rRNA from 1 species